rnacentral:rRNA from 1 species
UACGUAGGGGGCGAGCGUUGUCCGGAUUUAUUGGGCGUAAAGAGCUCGUAGGCGGCUGUUCAAGUCGAACGUGAAAACUCGGGGCUUAACCCCGGGCCUGCAGUGGGUACGGGCAGACUAGAGUGCGGUAGGGGAGACUGGAAUUCCUGGUGUAGCGGUGAAAUGCGCAGAUAUCAGGAGGAACACCGGUGGCGAAGGCGGGUCUCUGGGCCGAUACUGACGCUGAGGAGCGAAAGCGUGGGGAGCGAACAGG